rnacentral:rRNA from 1 species
GAACCUGUCUCAGGACGAACGCUGGCGGCGUGCCUAAUACAUGCAAGUUGAGCGCUGAAGGUUGGUACUUGUACCGACUGGAUGAGCAGCGAACGGGUGAGUAACGCGUGGGGAAUCUGCCUUUGAGCGGGGGACAACAUUUGGAAACGAAUGCUAAUACCGCAUAAAAACUUUAAACACAAGUUUUAAGUUUGAAAGAUGCAAUUGCAUCACUCAAAGAUGAUCCCGCGUUGUAUUAGCUAGUUGGUGAGGUAAAGGCUCACCAAGGCGAUGAUACAUAGCCGACCUGAGAGGGUGAUCGGCCACAUUGGGACUGAGACACGGCCCAAACUCCUACGGGAGGCAGCAGUAGGGAAUCUUCGGCAAUGGACGAAAGUCUGACCGAGCAACGCCGCGUGAGUGAAGAAGGUUUUCGGAUCGUAAAACUCUGUUGGUAGAGAAGAACGUUGGUGAGAGUGGAAAGCUCAUCAAGUGACGGUAAC